GACGAACGCUGGCGGCGUGCUUAACACAUGCAAGUCGAACGGAAAGGCCCUGCUUUUGUGGGGUGCUCGAGUGGCGAACGGGUGAGUAACACGUGAGUAACCUGCCCUUGACUUUGGGAUAACUUCAGGAAACUGGGGCUAAUACCGGAUAGGAGCUCCUGCUGCAUGGUGGGGGUUGGAAAUUUUCGGCGGUCGGGGAUGGACUCGCGGCUUAUCAGCUUGUUGGUUGGGUAGUGGCUUACCAAGGCUUUGACGGGUAGCCGGCCUGAGAGGGUGACCGGCCACAUUGGGACUGCGAUACGGCCCAGACUCCUACGGGAGACAGCAGUGGGGAAUAUUGUACAGUCGGCGGAAGCCUGAUGAAGCAACGCCGCGUGCGGGAUGACGGCCUUCGGGUUGUAAACAGCUUCCGCCCGUGACGACGCGUGAGUGACGGUAAUGGGUAAAGAAGCACCGGCUAACUACGUG
rnacentral:rRNA from 1 species